rnacentral:rRNA from 1 species
GAUGAACGCUGGCGGCGUGCCUAAUACAUGCAAGUCGAGCGAACAGAUGAGGAGCUUGCUCCUCUGACGUUAGCGGCGGACGGGUGAGUAACACGUGGAUAACCUACCUAUAAGACUGGGAUAACUUCGUGAAACAGGAGCUAAUACCGGAUAAUAUAUUGAACCGCAUGGUUCAAUAGUGAAAGACGGUUUUGCUGUCACUUAUAGAUGGAUCCGCGCCGCAUUAGCUAGUUGGUAAGGUAACGGCUUACCAAGGCAACGAUGCGUAGCCGACCUGAGAGGGUGAUCGGCCACACUGGAACUGAGACACGGUCCAGACUCCUACGGGAGGCAGCAGUAGGGAAUCUUCCGCAAUGGGCGAAAGCCUGACGGAGCAACGCCGCGUGAGUGAUGAAGGUCUUCGGAUCGUAAAACUCUGUUAUUAGGGAAGAACAAAUGUGUAAGUAACUAUGCACGUCUUGACGGUACCUAAUCAGAAAGCCACGGCUAACUACGUG